rnacentral:rRNA from 1 species
UAAGGAAUAUUGGUCGAUGGACGCAAGUCUGAACCAGCCAUGCCGCGUGAAGGAUGAAGGUCCUCUGGAUUGUAAACUUCUUUUAUCUGGGACGAAAACGGGAUUUUUAUCUCAAUUGACGGUACCAGAGGAAUAAGCACCGGCUAACUCCGUGCCAGCAGCCGCGGUAAUACGGAGGGUGCGAGCGUUAUCCGGAUUUACUGGGUUUAAAGGGUGCGUAGGUGGGCUUAUAAGUCAGUGGUGAAAUCUCCGAGCUCAACUUGGAAACUGCCGUUGAUACUAUAGGUCUUGAAUUAUCUGGAGGUAAGCGGAAUAUGUCAUGUAGCGGUGAAAUGCUUAGAUAUGACAUAGAGCACCAAUUGCGAAGGCAGCUUACUGCAUAUAAAUUGACGCUGAGGCACGAAAGCGUGGGGAUCAAAC